rnacentral:rRNA from 1 species
UGUUUCGGCUAGGGGGCCAUCCCGGCUUACCAACCCGAUGCAAACUGCGAAUACCGGAGAAUGUUAUCACGGGAGACACACGGCGGGUGCUAACGUCCGUCGUGAAGAGGGAAACAACCCAGACCGCCAGCUAAGGUCCCAAAGUCAUGGUUAAGUGGGAAACGAUGUGGGAAGGCCCAGACAGCCAGGAUGUUGGCUUAGAAGCAGCCAUCAUUUAAAGAAAGCGUAAUAGCUCACUGGUCGAGUCGGCCUGCGCGGAAGAUGUAACGGGGCUAAACCAUGCACCGAAGCUGCGGCAGCGACACUGUGUGUUGUUGGGUAGGGGAGCGUUCUGUAAGCCUGCGAAGGUGUCCCGUGAGGGAUGCUGGAGGUAUCAGAAGUGCGAAUGCUGACAUAAGUAACGAUAAAGCGGGUGAAAAGCCCGCUCGCCGGAAGACCAAGGGUUCCUGUCCAACGUUAAUCGGGGCAGGGUGAGUCGACCC